ensembl:lncRNA
CCCCUGUACAACACAGAUAGCUAGGUUAACCCAUUCCCCCUAUACAACACAGAUAGCUAGGUUAACCCAUUCCCCCUAUACCACACAGAUAGCUAGGUUAACCCAUUCCCUGUAUACCACACAGAUAGCUAGGUUAACCCAUUCCCCCUAUAUAACACAGAUAGCUAGGUUAACCCAUUCCCCCUAUACAACACAGAUAGCUAGGUUAACCCAUUCCCCCUAUACAACACAGAUAGCUAGGUUAACCCAUUCCCCCUAUAUAACACAGAUAGCUAGGUUAACCCAUUCCCCCUAUACAACACAGAUAGCUAGGUUAACCCAUUCCCCCUAUACAACACAGAUAGCUAGGUUAACCCAUUCCCCCUAUACAACACAGAUAGCUAGGUUAACCCAUUCCCCCUAUACAACACAGAUAGCUAGGUUAACCCAUUCCUAGUUGAGUGGAGGAUUCAAAUGAAGCUUAGACAAAGCGUUUCACUGUAACCUGGAGAGAUGUCAAUACAGUUAAAAGAA